CAAAGAUUAAGCCAUGCAUGUGAA
rnacentral:misc_RNA from 1 species